ensembl:snRNA U6 U6 spliceosomal RNA
GUGCUCGCUUCGGCAGCACGUGUACUAAAAUUGGAACGAUACAGAGAAGAUUAGCAUGGGCCCUGCGCAAGGAUGACGCGCAAAUUCAUGAAGCGUUCCACGUUUUU